UACGUAGGGUGCGAGCGUUGUCCGGAAUUAUUGGGCGUAAAGAGCUCGUAGGCGGUCUGUCGCGUCUGCUGUGAAAACCCGAGGCUCAACCUCGGGCCUGCAGUGGGUACGGGCAGACUAGAGUGCGGUAGGGGAGAAUGGAAUUCCUGGUGUAGCGGUGGAAUGCGCAGAUAUCAGGAGGAACACCGAUGGCGAAGGCAGUUCUCUGGGCCGUAACUGACGCUGAGGAGCGAAAGCGUGGGUAGCAAACAGG
rnacentral:rRNA from 1 species